rnacentral:lncRNA from 1 species
UUCUCUCAAUAAAUCUGCAAGAUUCCAUCAUAUCCAACUUUCACACUCCACAUCUUCACGAUGAUUCUUGCGUAGAAUAGGGUUGAAUUUCAGACGGCCGCUGCUACUCUCUCGGGCGAGGAUUUGUGCAGAAUCGAUGAAGAACUGAAUUUGUUCAUUUUGUGGGCAAACGGAACGUGACAUCGAAUAAGGUAGGUUCCGAAAACCCCCGCCGCCGCCCUUAGGCGCCUCAGCGCCGCCAGUCGCACAAUUAUUGGGUUCGGGCCGCCGUUGCUACUCUCUCGGUCGAGGACUGAGAGCUGAUGUUGUCUGCCAUGGCGAGCCGCUCUGUUGCCGGUC